rnacentral:rRNA from 1 species
UACAGAGGGGGCAAGCGUUAUUCGGAAUUACUGGGCGUAAAGCGCGUGUAGGCUGCUUCGCAAGUCGGAUGUGAAAGCCCUGGGCUCAACCCAGGAAGUGCACUCGAAACUGCAGAGCUGGAGUCCUGGAGAGGAAGGCGGAAUUCUCGGUGUAGAGGUGAAAUUCGUAGAUAUCGAGAGGAACACCGGUGGCGAAGGCGGCCUUCUGGACAGUGACUGACGCUGAGACGCGAAAGCGUGGGGAGCAAACAGG